GGCCUGCAGGAGGCGAAGGGGUGGGACUCUCGGACUCUGGCUAGGGUGGGGCCAGGGACGCUGUCCCCUGAAGGACAAAUCAUGACAUCCUCCAGAUUAUGUGGCUGCAGAAGGACCGGGAGUAGUUGUGGCAAGUUGAGGUUUAAUAACUUACGCAAGGUGGUUCUGGACUGUUUUCUACAUCGAUGAAAAAUUUUCCAACUACUGCUGACCACAUAUGCAAUUAACAAUAUCAUUCUUUGCUGGUCUUGUAAUCAGCCUCCAGGCAAGACCUCAGUGGCACAGAAGCUGAGCAGGCACCUAAAAUACUGAAGGAAGAGACGUUCCUUUAUUACCAAAGGAGCUGUGAUUUAAAGAACUAGAGAUGAAGAUGCUUUGCUUUUUAUUCCUUCUUUGUCCUCUUCCUACUAAGCCUCAGCUACAGUAUCAAUUGUGGAAAGUGGAAAAAUAGGGGCACUAAAGGCCUAGCUUUCUGAUUAGAAGACCAUGAAAUGGGGACCCAGAGGACCAGAAAGUAUUGAAGAGACCACAGAGAGAAGGGAACUCUAGCAAGAUAUUGCAUAAAAUGGUGUGUGAACUACUCACCUCAUGCUAUGAGCAUCAUCCUCAUGCUAUGCAUGUGUGAAUCUGGUAUAUAACCAGCAUCCCAAAGGCUUUGAGAACUACGGUCAAAACCUCUUCUCAGGUCCAAGACUGGCCACUGAGUUAGUUGUGCAAGAGAUUUUCACUGGAACCAAAGCCCACAGAAGGUGGGAUGGAAACUGUAGCCUGAACCUAAGUAGGUCAAUUGCCUAGUAAAACAAAACUAAACAAAAAUUUGACUAUUAUCAUAGGAUUUAAAUAAGACCCAGAGUCUCAUAACCUAAUAUUCAAAAUGUCCAUGAUACAAUCCAAAUGAAGAAUCAGGCAUAUGAAGAACCAGGAAAAUAUCAGCUCACAAGCAAUAAAAACAAUCAACAGAUGUCAAUGCUGAGAGGACACAUAUCUUCGAAUUAUCAGACAAAGUCUUUAAAGCAGCUAUUAUAACUCUGCCCCCAAGGAGUAAGGCUGAACACUUAAAACAAAUGGGAAGAUAGAAAUUCUCAGCAAAGAAAGAUAAGAUGUAAAAAAGACUAAUAGAAAAUUUUAGAACUGAAAAAUACAAUAACCAAAAUAAAAGUGACACAGGAAAGAGUCAGUGACCUUGAAGAUAAAUCAUUAAAAAUUAUCCAAUCUGAAUGACAGACAGUAAAAAGAUAAAAAUAAAUAAACAGAGCCUCAGGGACUGGUGGGACAAUAUCAGAACAUCUAGCAUUUGUCAAUGGAGUCAAAGAAGGAGAGGAGAAAGAAUGUGAUGCAGAAAACAAAUAUUCGAACGGCUGAAAAUGCCCAACAUUUGUUGAAAGGUCUAAAUAUACAAACUUGAAUAACUCAGCAAGUUCUAAAGAGGAUAAGCUCAAAAGAAUCCAUGCCCAGACACAUGAUAAUGAAACUAAAGACCAAACAAACAUAGCUAAAAACAGCCAGAGAGAAAUGAUUCAUAACAUAUAGGUGUUUGAUGAUUCUAAUAACUAUGGAUUUCUCAUCAGCAUCCAUGUUGAUGGGAAGGAAAUGGAACAUUUUUAAAGUGCUGAAAGUAAAGAACUGUCAUCCUAGAAUUCUGUGUCCACUGAAAAUAUAUUUUAAGAGUAAAGGUGAAAUAAAGAUGUUCUCAGAUUAAGGAAAACAAAAAGAAUUUACUUCCAGUAGACCGGCCAGAAGAAAAAUGAUACUAGAGAGAAACUUGAAACACCAGGAACAAAGGAAACAGACAUGGUAAAUAUCUGGAUAAAUAUAUUAAACUAUUUUUUCUUAAAUUCUUUAAAAUAUGUAUAAUGGGGCUUCCCU